rnacentral:rRNA from 1 species
CAGUAGCCGCGGUAAUACGUAGGGUCCGAGCGUUGUCCGGAAUUAUUGGGCGUAAAGAGCUCGUAGGCGGUCUGUCGCGUCUGCCGUGAAAUCCUCAGGCUCAACCUGAGGCGUGCGGUGGGUACGGGCAGGCUAGAGUGCGGUAGGGGAGAAUGGAACUCCUGGUGUAGCGGUGGAAUGCGCAGAUAUCAGGAAGAACACCGAUGGCGAAGGCAGUUCUCUGGGCCGUAACUGACGCUGAGGAGCGAAAGCGUGGGGAGCGAACAGGAUUAGAUACCCCAGUAGUCCCUGUCUCUUAUAC